UUCAAUUUCCUUAUCACUUCAACUUUUUUUUUUUUUCAUUUCAAUUUCUUUAUCUCAAGUUUUAAUAUGAAUUGAAUCGGCGCUUGCGGAGUAUGAUCAACUCCUUACCAACUGAACCAACCUUCGUUGACUAUCACUUCGCUCCUUAGUUGCCUAGCCGAACCAAAUGCAUUAAUAUUACAAGUUGUAUUAUUGCAUAUAAUUUCAAGGUAACUUCAUCUGACACAAUGAUGAAAUAUAGAUAUAGAUAUACAAAUGGAAGUGAAUGAGCAAGCUAUAUUGUGCAUAAUUUCAACAAACUUGUGCUCAAAGUGAUAGGCUUCUCAGCUGCAAAAGGAGCAUAGAAUAUUCAACAAGGUCCAAAAUGGUUUACUUUGAGAAUACAAUAGGAUAUGAAGGUGAUUUCUCAUGGAUAUGUAUGAAGGAUUUUGAUUUCACUUCUUUUUGUUCUCUAUGGAGUGCAAUAGACACUAUCAAUAUACUUUUUGUCUGCGCCUACUACACGUCCUUGGCUAUCAGUUUAACCAGAACAACUUCCGCAAAUAAGAGCCAGACAAAAAGUUGGAUUUUCUCACUUGUCUCAAUCUGUUGUGCUUUUACUAGCAUUGCAUAUUUUGCCACUGGAUUUUGGAAUCUCUUAGACAAAACUGGUAACUCUAAGGAUCUAAGCUGGUUAGCUUGCAUUAUCAGAGGAAUCAUUUGGAUAUCUAUAACAGUUUCUUUGCUUGUUCAGCAAGUCAAAUGGAUUCAAAUACUAAACUCUGUCUGGUGGGCAUCUUCAUGUGUAUUGGUUUCAGCUCUCAACAUCGACAUUUUGUUCAAAGGUCAUGCUAUUCAAACUUUUGAUAUCACAAUAUGGCUUGUACACUGUCUUCUUCUACUUUGUUCCUACAAAAAUCUUGGUUAUUUAGGAACUCAUAGUGUCCCAGAAUGUUUAUAUUCCGAGCCACUACUAGCUCAGAAAUGUGAAACAAAACAAACGGGACUAAGCAAUGCUACCUUGCUCAGCAAGUUAGUUUUCUCUUGGGUUAACUCUUUGCUUAGUUUAGGAUACUCAAAGCCACUAGCUCUUGAAGACAUACCUACCCUUGUUUCUGAAGAUGAAGCAAACACUGCGUAUCAAAAUUUUGUGCAUGAAUGGGAGUCUCUUGGAAGGAAGAGGAGUAAGAACAGUACAAAAAAUUUGGUUCUUUGGUCUAUAGUUAAAACUUACUUACAAGAAAACAUAUUAAUAGCAUUCUAUGCACUACUCAGAACUAUUUCUGUUGUAGUUUUACCUCUAAUUCUCUAUGCUUUUGUUAACUACUCAAGUAGAACCGAGGGAAAUCUCAGAGAAGGUCUUUCCAUAGUUGGUUUUCUGAUUCUCACCAAAUUAGUCGAGUCUUUUUCCCAGAGACAUUGGUUUUUUAACUCAAGGAGGUUAGGAAUGAAAAUGAGAUCAGCUCUGAUGGUGGCAGUUUAUGAGAAGCAGCUAAAGCUUUCUAGCUCGGGAAAGAUAAGACACUCGGCCGGUGAAAUUGUGAAUUACAUUGCAGUUGAUGCAUAUAGAAUGGGAGAAUUUCCAUGGUGGUUUCAUAUAACAUGGACUUGUAUACUACAACUUGUUCUGUCCAUUGCUGUCCUUUUCGGUGUUGUUGGUAUUGGUGCUCUUCCUGGUUUAGUCCCUCUUGUUAUAUGUGGACUUCUCAACGUACCAUUUGCAAGGAUCCUACAAAAUUGUCAGUCACAGUUUAUGAUUGCACAGGACGAACGUCUUAGAUCAACUUCCGAGAUUCUAAAUAGUAUGAAGAUCAUUAAGUUACAAUCAUGGGAAGAAAAAUUUAAGAACUUAGUUGAGUCCUUACGCGAUAAAGAGUUUGUAUGGUUGUCUAAGUCGCAGAUCCUGAAAGCUUCUAGUUCAUUUCUUUUUUGGAUGUCUCCUACAAUUAUAUCAUCUGUUGUUUUCCUUGGAUGUGCUAUUUCCAAUAGCGCACCAUUGAAUGCUCAAACCAUUUUCACAGUUCUUGCAACAUUGAAAAGCAUGGGAGAUCCUGUUAAAAUGAUUCCAGAAGCUCUAUCGAUUUUGAUUCAAGUUAAGGUUUCCUUUGAUCGUCUUAAUAACUUUUUGCUUGAUGAAGAACUUCACAAUGAUGAUAAUAGUGAAAAACACAUAAAGCAUUGUUCAUCUAAUGUCGUGGAAAUUCAAGCUGGCAACUUCACUUGGGAUCUUGAAUCUGUGUCCCCAACUUUAACAGAUGUUAAUUUAGAAAUAAAACGGGGACAGAAAAUAGCAGUUUGUGGACCGGUUGGAGCUGGAAAAUCGUCUCUUCUGUAUGCAAUACUCGGAGAGAUUCCAAAUAUUCAAGGAACUGUUAAUGUAGGUGGCACUCUUGCCUAUGUUUCUCAAUCUUCAUGGAUACAAAGUGGAACCGUUCGAGAUAAUAUACUCUUUGGCAAGCCAAUGAACAAAGCAAGAUAUGAGAAUGCUAUUAAAGCUUGUGCCUUGGACGAAGAUAUCAAUGAUUUGAGUCAUGGUGAUCUUACAGAAAUAGGUCAAAGAGGGAUUAACCUAAGUGGAGGACAAAAGCAAAGGAUUCAACUAGCUCGAGCAGUUUACAACGAUGCUGAUAUCUAUCUCCUUGAUGACCCUUUCAGCGCAGUUGACGCGCACACUGCUGCUAUUCUGUUCAAUGACUGCAUUAUGACUGCUCUAAGAGAGAAAACAGUCAUUCUUGUGACACAUCAAGUGGAGUUUCUCUCAAAAGUUGUUGAUAGAAUAUUGGUAAUGGAGGAUGGAAAAGUUAUUCAAUCAGGUAGUUAUGAGAAUCUCCUAAUAGCUGGGACAGCCUUUGAACAACUUGUGAACGCGCACAAAGACGCACUUACUGAGUUGAAUCAAGAUAACAAAAACCAAGGAAGUUCGGAACAUGAUGUCUUGGUUAAUCCACAAGAGUCUCAUAGUGUGAAAGAGAUUUCUACCAGAGGUCAACUUACAAAAGAGGAAGAAAAAGAGAUUGGUGAUGUUGGCUGGAAGCCAUUCUGGGAUUAUAUAUCUUAUUCCAAGGGAUCAUUGAUGCUGUGUUUUAUUGUGUUAGCACAAUCUGCUUUUAUGGCUUUGCAGACUGCAUCAUCCUUUUGGCUUGCUAUUGCGAUCGAAAUUCCAAAAGUAACGAGUGCCAACUUGAUUGGAGUUUAUUCAUUAAUUUCUUUCACUGGUGUUAUGUUUGUAUAUAUAAGGUCUUACUUGAUGGCGCGUCUCGGAUUAAAUGCUUCUAUUGCCUACUUCUCUAGCUUCACUACAGCUAUCUUCAAUUCUCCAAUGAUGUUCUUCGAUUCUACGCCGGUUGGAAGGAUUUUAACCCGAGCUUCAUCAGAUUUGAGUAUUUUGGACUUUGAUAUGCCUCAUGCCGUCCACUUUGCCUUAUCAGUAGCAAUUGAAGUUCUGGUAAUAAUUUGCAUAAUGGCUUCAGUCACAUGGCAAGUUCUAAUUGUUGCUGUUCCGGCAAUGGUGGCAUCGAUAUUCAUUCAGCAUUAUUAUCAAGCAACUGCAAGGGAACUAAUGCGGAUCAACGGAACCACCAAAGCACCAGUCAUGAAUUUUGCAGCUGAGACAUCACUUGGAGUGGUUACUAUAAGAGCAUUCAACAUGGUAGACAGACUUAUGAAAUACUACUUAAAACUUGUCGACACAGAUGCUACGCUGUUCUUUCAUUCUAAUGUUGCCAUGGAGUGGAUGGUUAUAAGGAUUGAGGCACUUCAAACUUUGACAGUUAUCACUGCAGCAUUGUUGCUUAUUCUACUUCCUCAUGGAUAUGUGUCUCCAGGACUUGUGGGACUGUCUCUUUCGUAUGCUUUUAAUUUGACAGGAGCCCAGAUAUUUUGGACUAGAUGGUUUUCCACCUUAUCAAACAACAUAAUCUCGGUUGAAAGAAUCAAGCAGUUCAUCGACAUUCCAGCCGAACCUCCUGCCAUUAUGGAGGAUAACCGACCGCCAUCUCCAUGGCCUUCCAAGGGUAGGAUUGAAGUUCAAGGCUUAGAGAUUAGAUACCGUCCAAAUGCACCAUUAGUCCUUAAGGGAAUCACUUGUACAUUUAAUGAAGGGAGUAGGGUAGGAGUUGUUGGAAGGACUGGAAGUGGAAAAAGUACACUUAUAAGUGCUUUGUUUCGCUUAGUUGAGCCUUCGAGAGGUGAUAUUAUCAUAGAUGGGAUUAACAUAUGCUCGAUCGGGUUGAAAGAUUUGAGAAUGAAGCUAAGCAUCAUUCCUCAAGAACCAACACUUUUCAAGGGCAGCAUUAGGACAAACCUUGACCCUUUAGGCCUAUACACAGAUAAUGAAAUAUGGAAGGCUUUGGAGAAAUGUCACCUCAAGGAAACAAUCAGCAGGCUACCAAGUCUCUUGGACUCUUCUGUGAGUGAUGAAGGUGGAAAUUGGAGCUUAGGGCAGCGCCAACUGUUUUGUCUUGGAAGAGUACUACUCAAGAGGAACAAAAUUUUAGUUCUAGAUGAAGCUACAGCCUCCAUUGACUCUGCCACAGAUGCCAUUCUACAAAGAGUAAUUAGACAAGAAUUUGCAGAAUGCACUGUAAUAACCAUUGCUCACAGAAUUCCAACUGUAAUAGACAGUGACAUGGUCAUGAUCCUAUCUUAUGGGAAACUGGUGGAAUAUGAUGAGCCUUCAAAGCUAAUGGAAACCAACUCUUCAUUCUCUAAGCUGGUAGCUGAGUAUUGGUCUAGCUACAAGAAGAGUUCCAUCCCAAACACUAGCAUACAGAAACAAUGAAUACAUACUGACGUAAUGGAAAAGAAACAUAGUCAAAUAAAUUAAAGGAAAAUGACUCACAUCCCAUUCCCAGACAUUGAGUGGCAUGGUUGAAAAUGUGGCGGAGGAUGGCGUUGAGGCGAAACCGGGCAAAAAUAAAGCUUCCGGUGAAGCUUCCGGCGUAGGCGUAGGUUCCCGCGAAGGCAAACCGACCAAUAAUGUGAAGUUUAAAGUGAAAAUUCAUUUUCAAGUUGAAGCUCACAUAGUUCACAAUCAAGCAAAAUCGGUACCUACCGGUAACUUUGAAGACAAGCCUAAACACUACAAGAAACAUUACCUUUUGCCAGGGGCAAAAUCCCUGUCAAAAGUACAUAAUCGAUGGCAAAAGGGACGUUUGUGAGGGAAAAAGCCAGGGGCAGAAGCAGUGGCAAAAGCGCUCAUCGCAAAAUUUUUGCCAGGGGCUACACCCCUGGGAUAAAAACGAGGGGCGGCUAAACCCCUGGUAUAUUGCCAGGCUUUCUCCCUGGCAUAACCCAUGGAAUAUUCCCUCACUUUUGUCUGCAACUUUGCUGCACCUCUGACUGCACCCUGCACUGAAGUGAUUGACUGAAAGCAAGUCAGAUGAGCAAAAAACCAGGGAUAU